rnacentral:rRNA from 1 species
UACGGAGGGGGCUAGCGUUGUUCGGAAUUACUGGGCGUAAAGCGUACGUAGGCGGCUUUGUAAGUUAGAGGUGAAAGCCCGGGGCUCAACUCCGGAAUUGCCUUUAAGACUGCAUCGCUAGAAUUGUGGAGAGGUAAGUGGAAUUCCGAGUGUAGAGGUGAAAUUCGUAGAUAUUCGGAAGAACACCAGUGGCGAAGGUGACUUACUGGACACAUAUUGACGCUGAGGUGCGAAAGCGUGGGGAGCAAACAGG